rnacentral:rRNA from 1 species
UAAGGAAUAUUGGUCAAUGGGCGCAAGCCUGAACCAGCCAUGCCGCGUGCAGGAAGACGGCCCUAUGGGUUGUAAACUGCUUUUAUCAGGGAAUAAUCCCUCGUACGUGUACGAGGCUGAAGGUACCUGAAGAAUAAGCAUCGGCUAACUCCGUGCCAGCAGCCGCGGUAAUACGGAGGAUGCAAGCGUUAUCCGGAUUCAUUGGGUUUAAAGGGUGCGCAGGCGGAUUGGUAAGUCAGGGGUGAAAUCCCACAGCUCAACUGUGGAACUGCCUUUGAUACUGUCAGUCUAGAGUAUAGUUGAAGUGGGCGGAAUGUGUCAUGUAGCGGUGAAAUGCUUAGAUAUGACACAGAACACCGAUCGCGAAGGCAGCUCGCUAAGCUAUAACUGACGCUCAUGCACGAAAGCGUGGGGAUCAAACA